UAUUGAUACUAAGCCAUGCGAGUCUUUGCAGUAAUGCAAGGCAUACGGCUCAGUAACACGUAGUCAACUUACCCUAUGGACGAGGAUAAUCUCGGGAAACUGAGCAUAAUACUUGAUAGAUCAUAAUGCCUGGAAUGGUUUAUGGUUGAAAUGAUUCGUCGCCAUAGGAUGGGACUGCGGCCUAUCAGCUUGUUGGUGAGGUAAUGGCCCACCAAGGCGAUUACAGGUACGGGCUCUGAGAGGAGAAGCCCGGAGAUGGGUACUGAGACAAGGACCCAGGCCCUAUGGGGCGCAGCAGGCGAGAAAACUUUGCAAUGUGCGAAAGCACGACAAGGUUAAUCCGAGUGAUUUCUGCUAAAGAAAUCUUUUGCAAGUCAUAAAACCACUAGUGAAUAAGGGGUGGGCAAGUUCUGGUGUCAGCCGCCGCGGUAAAACCAGCACCUCAAGUGGUCAGGAGGAUUAUUGGGCCUAAAGCAUCCGUAGCCGGCUCUGUAAGUUUUCGGUUAAAUCCAUGUGCUCAACGCAUGGGCUGCCGAAAAUACUGCAUAGCUAGGGAGUGGGAGAGGUAGACGGUACUCGGUAGGAAGGGGUAAAAUCCUUUGAUCUAUCGAUGACCACCUGUGGCGAAGGCGGUCUACCAGAACACGUUCGACGGUGAGGGAUGAAAGCUGGGGGAGCAAACCGGAUUAGAUACCCGGGUAGUCCCAGCUGUAAACGAUGCAGACUCGAUGAUGCAUUGGCAUAUAGCCAGUGCAGUGUCGCAGGGAAGCCGUUAAGUCUGCCGCCUGGGAAGUACGUACGCAAGUAUGAAACUUAAAGGAAUUGGCGGGGGAGCACCACAAGGGGUGAAGCCUGCGGUUCAAUUGGAGUCAACGCCGGGA
rnacentral:rRNA from 1 species